ACUUGGUCUUGUUUCAGUUCUGCCAGAUGAACUUGAACCUGCCCUUGCUCUGCUCCCCGGGGCCACAGCCCGCAGGCCGUGGCACAGCCGUCCCUCCUGUGAUGCUGUCUCCUCGCCCUGCUGCCUGCUGGCCACAGCUGCCUACGGAUCAGCAUCGCCCUGUCCUGCGGAGGGGUGUCCUGAAGCCCUGGGGUGACUCCUGCACAAGAGAGACCACAAGCCACAUCCUGGGAGAGGGCGCAGCAACCCAACUUUGCACCCAGCCUGAGAUAAAGUGCAGUGUCUCGGGGACACCCUUUCCCGUUCUUAGGAGAGUACCUCAAGCCUCCAGCCAUCAGCUCCCCCGUGAUUGAGGCACCCAAUUAAAGUCAACAACGCACACCGACGUGUCGGCUGAGGACCGCAGCUCCCUCCCUUCCACUGUAUGUUGGACAUGAGCUUCGAGGCUUCCACCGCCAUCUGCAAACCAAGACUCUCACCCCGCUGACGCUCUUCAAGUCUGAGUGGCAUCUGGUGCCAGUGGGUGAGCUAUCCUUUCCAAGCCGAGUCAGACCCAUGGAGUUUUCUGCCACCUGCAGUCAGUAGCGGACAUAACUGUAAACUCAGCGGGCAUCAGCACCCUCCCCGCUCCCCAGCUAAGAAUGCCCUUUCACUUCAGCUGCCUACCCCGACACACAGGAUGCACCAGCUAGUCGGGGUGAGAGGCAAAUGGGUAACGCUGCAGCCAUUGCGGACCACGCAGUGGCCCUGGGGAGGCUGACCUCACACCUGCCCCUCAGUUCCAUAGCUUCUCCACUGACUCCUACCCUGCACAUGGGAAGAGGCAGCAGCGUUUGGGCCUUCGAGGAGCAAACCUGGCUCUGCAGAGUGCUUUCUUCUCCUCUGCUGCCUUGAAUUGUUUUUACAAACAUGUUUAAUUACCUAAGAAGUUAUGAUCGGUGCUGUUAAACAGACGCUGUGCCAUGAUGGAAGUGCUCUCUAGCUACACCUAUCUCCUCUGCCUGCAACACCCUCAGCUGCCCCCUCACACAGCUACUUGAAAUGCAUAUAGUGUAGCCGAGGAGCUGAGUUCUUCAUUGCAUUGAAUUUCAGUUAAUUAGAAUUCAAUAAACACAUCUGAAUACUCAUUACUGUAUUGGACGGCACAGAAACAGAAAAAUCAGAUUUUUUCCCCCCACAGUGCUAGGGAAACUCAGGGCCUUGGGCACUCUACCCCUGAGCUACAGCCCCAGGCCUGGAACAAUUAAAUUAUAUAUAUAUAUAUCGCCAGACACCUGUAACCCCAGCAGCUCAGGAGGCUGAGGCAGGAGGAUCGCAAGUUCAAAGCCAGCCUCAGCAACUUAGCAAGGCCCUGAGCAACUUGGAAAGACCUUGUCUCUAAAUAAAAAAAUAAAAAUGG